rnacentral:lncRNA from 1 species
AUUAAAAGCAAGUCCCAGCCAGGUGUGGUGGCUCAUGCCUGUAAUCCCAGCACUUUGGGAGGCCGAGGCAGGCGGAUCACUUGAGACUUUGUGCUCCAUCAGUUGAAGAGUAGGAUGAAGAAAAAAAAAAAGGUUACAUGAAGAUGAUGGAAUUAUAAUCAGGCCUUGAAGAACGGAGACAAUUCCAGCCAUUGUUGUAGAUGUGGAGGCUGAAGGACAUUCCAAUUUGAAGGAACAGAAGAUGGGAUCUCACUCUGCUGCCCAGGCUGGUCUCCUCCUGCCUUGGCCUCCCAAAGUGUUGGAAUUACAAGUGUGAGCCACUGUGCCUGGCCCUGAAUAAGUUUCUUGACCCAGAGUUCCUGAAGAGGAGGACGGGAACCUUGGAGGCUGUUUCUCCAGGCUGAUGGAGUUUCGCUCUUGUUGCCCAGGCUAGAAUGCAAUGGCGCGAUCUCAGCUCACUGCAACCUCUGCCUCCUGGGUUCAAGCAAUUCUCCUGCCUCAUCCUCCUGAGUAGCUGAGAUUACAGUGAUGGAGUCUUGUUGUGUUGCCCAGCCUGGCGUCUAACCCCU